GACGAACGCUGGCGGCGUGGAUUAGGCAUGCAAGUCGAACGGUAGGAUACCUUCGGGUAUCUGAGAGUGGCGAACUGGUGAGUAACACGUAGGUUAUCUACCCUCAAGACGGGGACAACCCAGGGAAACUUGGGCUAAUACCGGAUGUGAGCAACUUUUAGUUGUUUGAAAGGUGGCGUAAGCUGUCGCUUGGGGAUGAGCCUGCGUCCUAUUAGUUAGUUGGUGAGGUAACGGCUCACCUAGGCAAUGAUAGGUAGGCGGCCUUAACGGGUGGUCGCCCACACUGGGAUUGAGAUACGGCCCAGACUCCUACGGGAGGCAGCAGUCGAGAAUAGUCUACAAUGGUCGGAAGACUGAUAGUGCGACGCCGCGUGAACGAUGAAUCCCUUCGGGGUGUAAAGUUCUUUUAUAUGUGAGCAGUGCUUCUUAUAUUAACAGUAUGGGGAGAGAGAUAUUAGCAUAUGAAUAAGCAAACGGCUAAACUCCGUGCCCAGCAGCCGACGGUAAAACGU
rnacentral:rRNA from 1 species